UACGUAGGGUGCAAGCGUUGUCCGGAAUUAUUGGGCGUAAAGAGCUCGUAGGCGGUUUGUUGCGUCGGCUGUGAAAUCCCGAGGCUCAACCUCGGGUCUGCAGUCGAUACGAGCAAACUAGAGUGUUGCAGGGGGAGACUGGAAUUCCUGGUGUAGCGGUGAAAUGCGCAGAUAUCAGGAGGAACACCGGUGGCGAAGGCGGUCUGCUGGGCAGUUGCUGACGCUGAUGCGCGACAGCGUGGGGAGCAAACAGGAUUACGAA
rnacentral:rRNA from 1 species